rnacentral:misc_RNA from 1 species
AACGCACAUUGCGCCCGCCAGUAUUCUGGCGGGCAUGCCUGUCCGAGCGUCAUUUCGACCAUCAAGCUCAGCUUGUGUUGGAGCACUGCGGGCUGCCCGCAGGCUCUGAAAUGCAGUGGCGGCCUGUAGGCUUCCCGGGCGUAGUACUAAAACACUCGUCUAGGGAGGGCUUAUAGCGCCUGCUGACCCAAAUUUUACAAGGUUGACCUCGGAUCAGGUAGGAAUACCCGCUGAACUUAA